CUGGGAUAAAGUUGUGACCAUUGGACUCUCAUACUUCACUUCAAACUCUCUCUCUCUCUCGUUCUUAGCUUACCCUCUCAGAAUUAGGUAUACCUCCGCCACACUGUCAUGCCUCCGGCGGUGGCUGUGGUGGCCUUCUUACUCGAUACUCCAACCAAAUACAGCGCUCCCUUCGUCUCGGUCAACCUGCCACUGUGACCUCCACCUACAUUCAUCGGAAACCCGAUCUGCGGCCACCAACUGCUUUGUUCCCUCCUUCUAUUGCCAAAUAUAA